AGAGCGAACGCUGGCGGCAGGCCUAACACAUGCAAGUCGAGCGCCCCGCAAGGGGAGCGGCAGACGGGAGAGUAACACGUGGGAACGUACCCUUCAGUUCGGAACAACCCAGGGAAACUUGGGCUAAUACCGGAUACGUCCGUAAGGAGAAAGAUUUAUCGCUGAAGGAUCGGCCCGCGUCUGAUUAGCUUGUUGGUGAGGUAACGGCUCACCAAGGCUACGAUCAGUAGCUGGUCUGAGAGGAUGAUCAGCCUCACUGGGACUGAGACACGGCCCAGACUCCUACGGGAGGCAGCAGUGGGGAAUAUUGGACAAUGGGCGCAAGUCUGAUCCAGCCAUGCCGCGUGGGUGAUGAAGGCCCUAGGGUUGUAAAGCCCUUUCGGCGGGGAAGAUAAUGACGGUACCCGCAGAAGAAGCCCCGGCUAACUUCGUGCCAGCAGCCGC
rnacentral:rRNA from 1 species